rnacentral:tRNA from 8 species
CGGGACGUGGCGCAGUUUGGUAGCGCACUUGACUGGGGGUCAAGGGGUCGUCGGUUCAAAUCCGGCCGUCCCGAC